rnacentral:misc_RNA from 1 species
CGGCAUCGACCUUGGCAUAGAGUCGGUGAUGUUCGAAUCUCGGGCAAGUGUGCCGGAUGGUCGUUCCAAAUGCGAGUGAGAGAUCAUUAGUUUGGAAGUUAAGUUUCGGUCUGUCCGGCGUGGUAGGUUGAUCGUUAGGUUGACUGAGGAAGCAGCAGGAAAACGAGGCACCGCAACGACGCCACGAGGGACCGUAAUGCUCAUAGCUAGGAUAACAGCCUGACCUGGUCUGGGCAGGGCUGCGUCCGUACACGGAUUCCCCCUCCUUGCUGUUACCAUCCACGCCGGACAUAUCGUGACCUGAAAACAGCCUCGGUGAAACUUUUGAGGUCUACGUGUGCGCAACGAAGGUAUGUGACGAUGUACAAAGAAUAUUAGGGAACAACGAAAAAAAAAAAAAAACGAAAACCUUCAGUAGCACGAGAGAAAACGAUCCGACUAGAUCGUUAAUUGGCAAACAGCAAGUCGCAGUCGUAGCCGAGUUUUCCCGACUAUAACGCGAAAACGUUGAUCUCGUGAUGGUGAAGCACAUAUACUCGAGAUAUGAUACGUUUCAACGAUAUACCAAUCUUCAAUGUUUCAAUCUGUUGACCUUCCGAUAAAAAAUUAUAUUUUAUACACUUAUUGUAUUAUAUUGUAUAUAUUGUAUAUAUCUUAUCUUAUAUAUUAAUAUCUUGUAUCAUUAUUUAAGGUUUGAUGUACUGAAAGUACAACCGGAAGAGAAUGAUCUCGUAUGAAAAAGAAGUCGAAAAAAUAGAAGAAAAUUUCUCUACGCGAUAUUUCGUUCUCGAGAAAUAAUUAAGUAUAAAUAUUUGCCUAGUACGUUUGCAUUCGACUAUCUACAUUUUCAUAUGUGUUUUCUUGAACCCAAUCAUUUCAGACCUUAAUUAGUAAAUUCUGAUAAUUGUUUGUAGAAAAAACAAAGUUGUCUGAGGGAAAAACCAUCCUUCUUUCGGUAAUAUUAUUUUUGAAAGCUAUGACCAAUGAAAGAGGAUUUUCCUAUUAUUUAAUUGAUGAUUUAUCGAAAUACAUCCAGCUACAGUACCUAGAAAAGUAGUAGAUAAAUUCAUAAAAGCAGAAAGAUAAAAUUAACAAAUUAUUUAUCAGACUAGUAAUUAGUAUAGAGUAUGAU